AACGCAUAUUGCGCUCUCCGGCAUUCCGGAGAGCAUGCCUGUUUGAGUAUUGGCCUAAACGAGAGUCUUCCUUUAAAGAUAUAAAAAAGAACGUUAAGAACCCUCAGUUGAGACUUCUCGACAAUUCAUUGCCGAGUGUUUUAAAAUGCAAUAGUACCGCCACGUUUGCGAACUUGGAGUAAUAUGUGAGCCUGAAAAGGUGACCUCUAUUCUCCUCGGACCACGUAGACCUGUUAAGCGGGAAGUUUUUGAAUGCCGAAUUAUGGGAGACGGUGUUCAAUUGUUCGAGUAACGACGAACGAAAUAAACUCAAUCUCAAAUCAGGUAGGAUUACCCGCUGAACUUAA
rnacentral:misc_RNA from 1 species